rnacentral:rRNA from 1 species
GGUUGACCUCGGAUCAGGUAGGAAUACCCGCUGAACUUAAGCAUAUCAAUAAGCGGAGGAAAAGAAACCAACAGGGAUUGCCUCAGUAACGGCGAGUGAAGCGGCAACAGCUCAAAUUUGAAAUCUGGCCCCCAGGCCCGAGUUGUAAUUUGUAGAGGAUGUUUCUGGCGACGCGCCUUCCGAGUUCCCUGGAACGGGACGCCAAAGAGGGUGAGAGCCCCGUCCGGUCGUGCGCCUAGCCUCUGUGAAACUCCUUCGACGAGUCGAGUAGUUUGGGAAUGCUGCUCUAAAUGGGAGGUAUACGUCUUCUAAAGCUAAAUACCGGCCAGAGACCGAUAGCGCACAAGUAGAGUGAUCGAAAGAUGAAAAGCACUUUGAAAAGAGGGUUAAAUAGUACGUGAAAUUGCUGAAAGGGAAGCGCUUAUGACCAGACUUGGGCUUGGUGAAUCAUCCGGCGUUCUCGCCGGUGCACUUUGCCGGUCCAGGCCAGCAUCAGUUCGCUUCGGGGGAUAAAGGCUUCGGGAAUGUAGCUCCCUCGGGAGUGUUAUAGACCGUUGCGUAAUACCCUGGGGUGGA